GAUGAACGCUAGCGGCAGGCCUAAUACAUGCAAGUCGAACGGGAUUGAGGAGCUUGCUCCUCAUGAGAGUGGCGCACGGGUGCGUAACACGUAUGUAACCUACCUUAAUCAGGGGAAUAGCCUCUCGAAAGAGAGAUUAACACCGCAUAAAAUCACACUAUGGCAUCAUAGAAUGAUCAAAUAUUUAUAGGAUUAAGAUGGGCAUGCGGAACAUUAGCUAGUUGGUAAGGUAACGGCUUACCAAGGCUACGAUGUUUAGGGGAUCUGAGAGGAUGGCCCCCCACACUGGUACUGCGACACGGACCAGACUCCUACGAGAGGCAGCAGUAAGGAAUAUUGGUCAAUGGGCGGAAGCCUGAACCAGCCAUGCCGCGUGCAGGAAGACGGCCCUACGGGUUGUAAACUGCUUUUGUACCGGAAUAAACCUUUCUACGUGUAGGAAGCUGAAUGUACGGUAAGAAUAAGGAUCGGUUAACUCCGUGCCAGCCGCCGCAGUAA
rnacentral:rRNA from 1 species